GUGAAAUUGUUGAAAGGGAAGCGCUUGCAACCAGACCUGCCUGCAGUUGCUCAUCCGGGCUUUUGCCCGGUGCACUCUUCUGCUGUCAGGCCAGCAUCAGUUCGGGCGGUCGGAUAAAGGCUUCGGGAAUGUAGCUCCUCUCGAGGAGUGUUAUAGCCCGUUGCGAAAUGCGGCCAGCCUGAACUGAGGUCCGCGCUUCGGCUAGGAUGCUGGCGUAAUGGUUGUAAGCGGCCCGUCUUGAAACACGGACCAAGGAGUCUAACAUCUGUGCGAGUGUUUGGGUGUCAAACCCGUACGCGUAAUGAAAGUGAACGGAGGCGGGAACCCCUCGGGGUGCACCGUCGACCGAUCCUGAUGUCUUCGGAUGGAUUUGAGUAAGAGCAUAGCUGUUGGGACCCGAAAGAUGGUGAACUAUGCCUGAAUAGGGUGAAGCCAGAGGAAACUCUGGUGGAGGCUCGCAGCGGUUCUGACGUGCAAAUCGAUCGUCAAAUUUGGGCAUAGGGGCGAAAGACUAAUCGAACUAUCUAGUAGCUGGUUCCUGCCGAAGUUUCCCUCAGGAUAGCAGUAACGUUUUCAGUUUUAUGAGGUAAAGCGAAUGAUUAGAGGCCUGGGGGUUGAAACAACCUUCACCUAUUCUCAAACUUUAAAUAUGUAAGAAGUCCUUGUUGCUUAGUUGAACGUGGACAUUUGAAUGUAUCGUUACUAGUGGGCCAUUUUUGGUAAGCA
rnacentral:rRNA from 1 species